rnacentral:piRNA from 1 species
UACCGAUGCAUUCUGGCCAGGUGUGUCCCA